ensembl:lncRNA
UCGCUAUAGACCAAUUUUUUAUUUGUAAACAUUCGGAUGCGCGCGCAGGGUGGUGGCAGAAAACAGCGAAAGGGUAGUUAUUUAUAACGGCAAAAGGACCACUCGGAUAAUAAUACAAGUAGCCUAGAUAGAUUUUUAAAAGAUUAUAGUUAAUAAUGAUUAGAUCUGAUUAGUAAAAUGUUUUCGACAUAUUUCAAUAGCCUGUCACCCAGUGAUAAACACUGUUAUUUAGCCAAAUUGACGUUAGUGGGCAGUGGGAUACGUCUUCCAGAUCCGUUUGCAAUAGCACCUUGUCAAUGGUUAAAUGAUGAAACGAAAUGGCCUAGCAUCCAGUGGCCAGAGAUUUAUAAUUACCUAAUCGAAACUCCAAGUGUAUAUACCCGGGAGAAGCUAAAAGCGUACAAGUCUCUGGAUGCUUACAAUUUUGUUCUGUGUGGUCAUGUCCAAGACAUACUAUGGCAUGAUUACAAUGUUCAAAACUUCGUUGUGAUGAAGACGGAGGUUCUGCCUAGCCAAAGACAGGGAAAGAAGACAGAAUUGUACAAGGCCUGGGUUAUCGUCAACAAGACCAACAACUGUAUUCUUACUGCGAACUGCACCUGUAUGGCUGGAACUGACAGAUGAAGACAUUGCGGAAUUGAAACUACUGGCACCUAACGCAGCUGUACUCACUACCAUGGAACUCAGUGACACAGAUUCCGCAACAGAAUCUGACACAGAGGCCGGGGACCUCCCAGAGCCACUAGUCGCUCUGUAUGAUGCCAAUCUGAGAUGCCUCUGCAAAAAUCAACUACAAGAGAGGAGUGAAGAGACUUUUGAAAAACUGAGGAUGGGGUUAACUAAUGAGCAGUGUGUAAACCUUGAGCUUACAACUAAAAAUCAGGCACAGUCUCAGGCCUGGCACACACACAGAAAUGGAAGGAUAACAAGCACAACCCUACAUCGUGUAUACACUGUAGUAACCGAAACAGCUAAACUAAACCUUGUAAAACAGGUAAUGCACUACAAUAAACAAGACUUGUCCCAUGUGCCAGCAGUACUUUGGGGAAGAGAUAUGGAGGACACAGCCAGAAGACAAUACACAGAAAUAAUGAAAGCACAACAUUCCAACUUUGAAGUGGAGCUUUGCGGUCUUGUUGUGCGACCAGACAAACCACAUCUUGGGGCAUCGCCGGAUGGAAUAGCAAACUGUACCUGCUGUGGGAAAGCAACC